GACGAACGCUGGCGGCGUGCCUUAUACAUGCAAGUCGAACGCAGGGGGGACGGGUGAGUAACACGUGGGUAACCUCCCAUCAGAGGGGAUAACACUUGGAAACAGGUGCUAAACCGAUACUGAUGGAUGGACGCGCGGUGCAUUAGCUAGGUGGUGAGGUAACGGCUCACAAAGGCCACGAUGCAUAGCCGGCGUGAGAGGGGGAUCGGCCACACGUGGACCGAGACACGGCCCAGACUCCUACGGGAGGCAGCAGUAGGGAAUCUUCGGCAAUGUACGAAAGUCUGACCGAGCAAUGCCGCGUGAGUGAUGAAGGUUUGCGGAUCGUAAAACUCUGUUGUUAGAGAAGCGGUAUCUAACCAGAAAGCCACGGCUAACUACGUGCCAGCAGCCGCGGUAAUAC
rnacentral:rRNA from 1 species